GCAUGGCCCAUGGAAGAAAAGGUGGCCUCUACCUGUAAGCUAUCGCCUGAAGAGGGGUUUGCGUCUGAUUAGCUGGUUGGAGGGGUAACGGCCCACCAAGGCGACGAUCAGUAGCCGGUCUGAGAGGAUGAACGGCCACACUGGAACUGAGACACGGUCCAGACUCCUACGGGAGGCAGCAGUGGGGAAUCUUCCGCAAUGGGCGAAAGCCUGACGGAGCAACGCCGCGUGAGUGAUGACGGCCUUCGGGUUGUAAAACUCUGUGAUCCGGGACGAAAAGGCAGAGUGCGAAGAACAAACUGCAUUGACGGUACCGGAAAAGCAAGCCACGGCUAACUACGUGCCAGCAGCCGCGGUAAUACGUAGGUGGCAAGCGUUGUCCGGAAUUAUUGGGCGUAAAGCGCGCGCAGGCGGCUUCCCAAGUCCCUCUUAAAAGUGCGGGGCUUAACCCCGUGAUGGGAAGGAAACUGGGAAGCUGGAGUAUCGGAGAGGAAAGUGGAAUUCCUAGUGUAGCGGUGAAAUGCGUAGAGAUUAGGAAGAACACCGGUGGCGAAGGCGACUUUCUGGACGAAAACUGACGCUGAGGCGCGAAAGCGUGGGGAGCAAACAGGAUUAGAUACCCUGGUAGUCCACGCCGUAAACGAUGGAUACUAGGUGUAGGAGGUAUCGACCCCUCCUGUG
rnacentral:rRNA from 1 species